CCAGCAGCUGCGGUAAUUCCAGCUCCAAUAGCGUAUAUUAAAGUUGUUGCAGUUAAAAAGCUCGUAGUUGGAUUUCUGGGGUCGUGGGAUGGUCGCGUCGCAAGGCGUGUUCUGUUUCGUGGCUCCUUUUGCUCGAAGGCCUGCGGUGCUCUUCAUUGAGUGCCGUAUGGAAUUCGGGACCUUUACUUUGAAAAAAUUAGAGUGUUCAAAGCAGGCCUACGCUUGAAUACAUUAGCAUGGAAUAAUGGAAUAGGACUUUGGUGCUAUUUUGUUGGUUUAUGGGACCGAAGUAAUGAUUAACAGGGACAGUUGGGGCCGUUUAUAUUUCGUUGUCAGAGGUGAAAUUCUUGGAUUUACGAAAGAUAAACUUCUGCGAAAGCAUUCGGCAAGGAUGUUUUCAUUGAUCAAGAACGAAAGU
rnacentral:rRNA from 1 species